ACCAGACUCCUACGGGAGGCAGCAGUGGGGGAUAUUGCACAAUGGGGGGAACCCUGAUGCAGCGACGCCGCGUGGGUGAAGGAGUGCUUCGGCAUGUAAAGCCCUAUCGGCAGGGAAGAAGCAAGACGGUACCUGACUAAGAAGCCCCGGCUAACUACGUGCCAGCAGCCGCGGUAAUACGUAGGGGGCAAGCGUUAUCCGGAUUUACUGGGUGUAAAGGGAGCGUAGACGGCGAUGCAAGCCGGAUGUGAAAGCCCGGGGCUCAACCCCGGGACUGCAUUUGGAACUGUGUGGCUGGAGUGUCGGAGAGGCAGGCGGAAUUCCCAGUGUAGCGGUGAAAUGCGUAGAUAUUAGGAGGAACACCAGUGGCGAAGGCGGCCUGCUGGACGAUGACUGACGUUGAGGCUCGAAAGCGUGGGGAGCAAACAGGAUUAGAUACCCCUGUAAGU
rnacentral:rRNA from 1 species